GUCAUUGGAAGAGCUCAAAGUUAAAGGCUCCCGCUAAAAAUCAGUAUGUUUCAUUUUGCAGUUACUGGGAGGGGGCUUGCUGUGGCCCCAUCUGGGAGAGUUGAGCCCUGGUCCAGCCCCGCGCAGGAAGGGAGGCUGUAACCGUGCCAGCCUGCUGCAGCUGCAGUGAUGUUUUCCUGUAUGAGACAAACAAAGUCGCCCGGAUCCAAAGCAUCAAUUAUGGCACCAUUAAGUUCUUCCACGUGAUCGUCUUUUCCUAUGUUAGAGAGGGAAAACGAGUCACACGGAAGCAAGUCAUGCAGCCGAGCUAGGAUUGGAACGGAAGUGGCCUGCAGAGCCUGCCUCCCACCCCACUGUGCUAUGCCUCCCAUUGAUGCUUUCCUGUGCCUGCCAUUUAGCUUUGCUCUGGUGAGUGGCAAGCUGUACCAGUGGAAAGAGCCUGUCAUCAGUUCUGUGCACAGCAAGGUGAAAAGGACAGCAGAAGUGAAAGAGGAGAUCGUGGAGAAAGAAAUGAAGAAGUUGGUGCACAGUGUCUUUAACAUGGCAGAUUACACCUUCCCUUUGCAGGUGAACACCUGGUAGUGUUAACGGACCCCAACACUUACCCAAAGGUAGCCAUUGGGUCAGGUUUCUGCACUAUAGUCCCUUCUGUGGUUGCCAGAAAUACGUUACAGGAAAAGGGUCCCGAUCCAGACCCCAAGAGGGGGUUCUUGGAUCUAGCGCAAGAAAGAAUUAGGGCAAGUCCACAGUGCAAAGUGAAAGCAAGUUUAUUAAUAAAGUAGUGGAAUAAAAGAAUGGCUACUCCAUAGACAGAGUAGCCCCCGAGGGCUGCUGGUUAGGCAUUUUUAUGAUUAUUUCUUGAUGAUACGCUAAACGAGGGGUGGAUUAUUCAUGCCUCCCCCUUUUAGACCAUAUAGGGUAACUUCCUGACAUUACCAUGGCAUUUGUAAACUGUCAUGGCGCUGCUGGGAGUGUAGCAGUGAGGACGACCAGAGGUCACUCUUGUCACCAUUUUGGUUUUGGUGGUUUAUAGCAGGCUCCUUUACUGCAACCUGUUUUAUCAGCAAGGUCUUUAUGACCUGUAUUUUGUGCUGACCUCCUAUAUCAUCCUGUGACUUAGAAUGCCUUAACCGUCUGGGAAUUCAGCCCAGUAGGUUUCAGCCUCAUUUUACCCAGCUCCUAUUUAAGAUGGAGUUGCUCUGGUUCACACGCCUCUGACAUUUGUAUUGCACAUCCAUUGUGAGGUGAAUGAUACUAAUCCCACUACAAAUCAAACCUUCAGGAGGUGAGGCAAUGUGUGAGGUGGUAAAGCCUCCAGAUUCAAAACUAUGCUUGGGUCAAAUUCUAGCUCUGCCACUUUGUGUGUGCAGUGUUGGGCCAAACACUUAGCUCAAUUCCCUCAUGUAUUCAGCAAACAGUUACUGAAUAUAAUAUGCUACUCUUCUAGUCUUGUAGCAGGACGAGCCGCAGACAAAACCUCUCAGACACCGAGUUGUAGAAGGAAGGGCUUUAUUCAGCUGGCAGCAUCGGCAAGCUACUGCCUUAAAAUCCGAGCUCCCCGAAUGCACAAUUUCUGUCCCUUUUAAGGGCUCCUCACAGCACUAAAGAUUUCACAUGAAAGGGUCGUGAUUGAUUUGAGCAAGUAGGUGGUACGUGACAGGGGCUGCAUGCACCAGUGGUAAGAGAGAAACAGAACAGGGCAGGGAGUUUCACAACGUUCUUCUAUACAAUGUCUGGAAUCUAUGAAUAACAUCGGUUUCUAAGUUAUGAGUUGAUUUUUAGCUACUGGGUGUGAGGCCUCUGAGCCCAAGCCAAGCCAUCGCAUCCCCUGUGACUUGCACGUAUACAUCCAGAUGGCCUGAAGUAACUGAAGAUCCACAAAAGAAGUAAAAAUAGCCUUAACUGAUGACAUUCCACCAUUGUGAUUUGUUUCUGCCCCACCCUAACUGAUCAAUGUACUUUGUAAUCUCCCCCACCCUUAAGGUACUUUGUAAUCUCCCCCAACCUUAAGAAGGUUCUUUGUAAUUCUCCCUACCCUUGAGAAUGUACUUCGUGAGAUCCACCCCUGCCCGCAAAACAUUGCUCUUAACUUCACCGCCUAUCCCAAAACCUGUAAGAACUAAUGAUAAUCCACCACCCUUUGCUUACUCUCUUUUCGGACUCAGCCCGCCUGCACCCAGGUGAAAUAAACAGCCAUGUUGCUC
rnacentral:lncRNA from 1 species